GAUGAAGAACGUAGCGAAAUGCGAUAACUAAUGUGAAUUGCAGAAUUCCGUGAAUCAUCGAGUCUUUGAACGCACAUUGCGCCCCCUGGUAUUCCGGGGGGCAUGCCUGUCCGAGCGUCAUUACAACCCUCAAGCCCGGCUUGUGUAAUGGGCGGCCGUCUCUCCCCCCGGGGGGAGACGCCCCCGGAACUCAGUGGGGAUGUCGCGAUACCGAAGCCUCAGCUAAUGGGUAAACCACAGCUGCAAUGGCCGCGGCCGGCGUCCGCCUUCCACGGUCCGUCCGCCUAGCGCGGGCGGCCUUCUCAAGGUUGACCUCGGAUCAGGUAGGGAUACCCGCUGAACUUAAGCAUAUCAAUAAGCGGAGGA
rnacentral:misc_RNA from 1 species